rnacentral:lncRNA from 1 species
GAGUUGAGCUUUAGAAGGAAUUCAGCAGAAAAGAUGGAGAGGUUAAAGUAAUCAGUAAUUGAAGAGGAAGUUAGAUUAGGAGGAAAUCAGAAGAAAGACUUUUCUACGUAAUUUCACACUGUAGGAAGAAGACCAAGUUUGCUUUGUGACUGAAAGGUGUUGGGUAUAGACCCAAAAUAUGAACAGGAAGAAUGAGAUAUGCUCUCAAGAGAGUAAGGAUCAAAUGUGCUGUUCAGUGCAGAACACAUGUGAAAGAUUUGGAAGGACAUUGAGUGGCAAGCAAAAUCAUCUGACUAUUGUCUCCUAGAACUAGAAACUACAAGACCCCUUCAUUUUUCCAUAUAUGAGAAACUACUGGAUACUAUGUAAAAUUAGAUAUUUUACUAACAGGCAAAAAUAAUCAUCUCAUUUCAGAAGGAAUUUUAAGUGGUUUAUACAUUCCAAAAGCAAUCACUUUUAAGUAUUUAUAACAUUUGCAAGAAAGCUUAAUGUUUCAUUUUGCCCAACAGCUAGAUGCUCCAUUUUUUAAAAAAAGCUAAACAAAUUCAAGCUGAUUUAACCAACACACACUACAGGGGAGCAGAGAGACCUUCACAAGCACGAAUUAAAAAGCUUGGUAUAAAAGAAAAACUCAAUGAAUUUAUCAUGAGGAAAACUAUUAAACACAGAUCUGCCAAAGUCAACUUUUCAUCUACUAUAAAAGUUUGUGUUUUUUCCUGUUGAUGGUAAAUAUGAAUUGACU